ensembl:lncRNA
ACAUGAUCCACAUUUGGUCCAAAUUCUUUUUACCAUUUUCAAAAUCUUUACCAUUGUGAGAAAGAGCGAAAUCACAUCUCCAUAAAUCCAUAAAUUACUGAAAUAAGAUAAAUUUAGAGCAUUUUUUUUAUAUUCUGAAGAGAAUAUCCAAAACGAUAUCCAGAAAUCGUUUUGGAUCCAGGAAUUUUGUGCGUGCUGUGGCAGGAAUUUUUAGCUUUGGCAGAGGUGUGUAGGGUCAGACUUCUCGUCAUUUAUUUCUCUGAAAAAUGCCAGACCCUGCUGCUUUGAACGUCAUUAUACUGUGCAGGCUUUACUUUACAUUUAUUCAGCAGCAGUAAAUCUCAGCGGCUAUAACACUGCCUUCUGCUCUUUGUUGUUCCUGCAGCUCAGAAAGGAGCUGCCGAGCGACAUCUAUUUACACAUAGUAUCUGUGUUUGAACUGUCCAGGUAGGAGAUGAUUUACAUUUACAACUCAGCCAUUACUCGGUGUAUUUCGCAAUAAAAUUCAUUUGAAUCUCACUGUGUGUCACACCAAUUAAAUCUUGUUUUAUAGUACAUGUCAGAGGAGGGGAACAAAUGGGCCGUAAGGUUACUGAGUUUCUUUGAUUUUCUUAUUUUCAGAUCCAAUACAGAAGACCUCGUAAAAACACCAUAUGAAGACCAGCUGAUGCGGUUCGGUCCCUCCAGUAGCAACAGUUUUCGCUGCCACGUAUACGUGAAUGUCAUCCCUGCCUUGGAUGUGGCAUAUGUGCAGUCUCUAAUAGCCACGAGGCUUAAAAAUCCCUACAACGACUCCAGUGGUUUGCUACAGCUGCAAGCAGAUGCAGAAAACAUACACACCACGCCUGUCGAUGGUUUCUUAGUUGACACCAGCAGCCCCAGUACGAUGACACAGCCUUCUCCUGUGACAAAUAUUACCACUACGACCACAAUACCAUCCUCCACGUCCUUUUCUACCACCGACUUUAGACCCCCAACCACGAGCAUCAUCACAAGUACAAGUACUACUACCGUGGCCACGGCCAUGACCAUUGCCACACACCCUGAAAAUGUUUCCGGUCAGUUUCCCAACUGCAUGUACAUCACGGUUCAUCUGUCAUCGUAAAUGUCUUGGUGAAAACUUUCUGAUCCGUCUCAAUUUCCUUUGCAGAACUGUAUUUUCAGGUUAAGGUGAACGUGUCCAUAACAGGCGGUUGUGACACAGAACAGAUCCUUAGGUCCUGGGUACGUCUUACAGAACACCUAAGCUCUUAUUUUAAGAUACAGGAAACUAUUUUUCCUUCACUUGGUUAAAUAUAGGGGUGAAAAAUCCUGACAGCAUAAGUAAUGCAGUAAUAUGAAUGCUAACAUCCUCUUCACAGCUCAACAAUAGCCUACCAAACAACUUCAUGACAGUGCUUGAAUUUCAGCUAGUCCCCAAAGCUCAAAGGUAGAGUACCACACAUCAACUCACCCAUUUCCAGAAAUAUGUCACAUUCUGAUGAACGCAAAGGUCUUUCAAUUUGAACAACUUAAGUUACUGAUCUCACUUCCAGAAAUCAUCCUAAGCUGCAGUCAGAAUACCCUACCAGAGUAAGUAAGCAUAAAAAAGGUGUCAGUGCCUUCUUAAACCAAAAGGCUGUUUCUCCCCUGAAAGCUUCAUCUUCAUCUUUUUUACUCUUUCCCAGGUAUUAGCAUACACAGAUCCGAGGUAAGCUUCGUGUGUCUCCAUACAAUUUUAUUUAGAACUGAUUACAAUAAACAAAAAAAUUGAAAUUCUGCCUGGAGGAGGAGGAAACUGGCUGCUACUUUGUUCAUUUUUAUUUGCCUUUACGCAGGUAAUAUUAAAAAAGUAUAACAUCAUGAUGUUAUAUUUGCUAUGUACAUGAGCCCAUUGUCAUUCUGCAAACCAUAUUUAACUCUGUUACUUCCAGAAGAGAGAGCUGUAUUUUCCAGGUCCAAGUCAUGAUGCAGUCAGACAUAGAGGAAAUCGAAAACCUGAUACAAUACAUACUGCAAAAACCUUAUGAAAAUGAGUCCAUCUCCAUACGCACUGAGGACAUAGAGAUAAGCCAGAUACGUGAGUUCAAAAAGGGGGGGGGGACCCAACCCUGAAAAUCUUCUCAUUUUGAUCUCUUUCUCAAACAUCUCAUUGUUGCAGUGUCAUUUAAGUGCAAUGCAGAAAUCCGCCAAACCCUGAAAGGGCUGUUCGUGUGGCCUGAAACUUCAGGAGGAGAAACUGCGAAUCAAACGUGCCCAAAGAACCCUGACCACUACGCCACUCGACACUGGUGAGAGCUCAGACUCUUAAUCAUUUUUCAUUUGUAGUCCAAGUGAAACAUCUCACAAAAUAUGAGAUUA